CGUAAGAGAGAAGAAAGAAGAGCUGAAGCACAAAUCUUCACUCGACUCCACCGACCUCUUAUCAAGAUUCUUGAGCUCCGGCCACUCAGAUGAGGACUUUAUCACUGAUAUAGUCAUCAGCUUUAUACUCGCCGGUCGGGACACCACCUCCGCUGCUUUGACAUGGUUCUUCUGGUUACUCUUCAAGCACCCAGAUGUGGAAGAUCAGAUUCUAAAUGAAAUCAAUGAAAAGUCUGAAUUGCCGGUGUUCGAUGAAGUGAAGGACAUGGUCUACACACACGCCUCUCUCUGUGAGAGUAUGCGAUUCUACCCUCCUGUCCCCGUCGACAGCAAAGAGGUGGUGAGCGACGACGUGUUGCCGGACGGCACUGUGGUGAAGAAGGGCAUGAGGGUGACCUAUCAUCCCUACGCAAUGGGAAGGUUGGAGGAGCUGUGGGGGUCGGACUGGCCGGAGUUCCGACCAGAGAGGUGGCUGCAGAGAGACCCAGACACCGAAAAAUGGAGCUUUGUGGCCAGGGAUCCAUACACGUAUCCGGUGUUUCAGGCCGGACCCAGAAUUUGCCUGGGAAAGGAGAUGGCGUUUCUGCAGAUGAAGAGGGUGGUCGCCGGAGUCCUGCGACGAUUCCAGGUGGUGCCGGUGGUGGAGGACGGUGGCGAGCCGGUCUACACCGCCGACUUAGCUGCCAAAAUGAAAGGUGGUUUUCUGGUUAGGAUUGUGGAAAGGGCUGAUAGAGGGUGAUGUCUAUCUGCGCAUGUCCGUGUGAUCUUAUGAACGUUUGAUUGCUUUUGUUUUUUUGUGUCUUUUGUGUCUUUUUAUUAUUAUUAUUAUGUACCAAUAAAGAUGUUAGGGAUCCCAUAUCCAUGCAUUUUGGAGUAGGUUCAAAUCUACAAAAGAACAAUUGUAUUUGGACUUUUGAAAUAUGAUUAUGGCAUUAAAUAUGAGGAGAAAAACUCAACAAUGAGAACACAUGAUGUGUAAUUUUUUCUUUUCCCUUAGUUAUAUUGGGCAUUCCUUUUCAAUAUCCCAAUUAUUUACAAAGGAAUCACUGCCAUAAGCUUGCUCUCAUAUAUAUUUGAAAACAAAUAUUAUAUAUCAUAUAAAUAUUUUAUUUAUUAUAAAUGAAUAUAUUUUUAUAUUAAAAUACUUUACUUGAUUAAUUAUAAAUAUAUUAGAACUUUUUAUUAAAGUUUUUUAAAAUAAAAAUAAUAAUAAACAAAUGCAAUACAAAAUUAAGAUUUACAAAAUACAAUAUAUAAUAUAAUAAUAUAUAACAAUAUAUAUAUAUAUAUAUAUUUACUGCUACCACUAUUUAAUAUUACAUUAUAUAUCAUAUAAAAGAAGGAAUAUCAUUUAUUUUAAUAGUAAAUCCCAUAACAUGACAUAUAAAUUAUAUAGAAUUUUACUUAUAAUUUUUUAAUUUAAAACCAAACAAUGUUUUACAAAUUUUAUUUAAAAAAAAAAACGAUUUUCACACUUUUUAAUCAGAUGAAUUUUCAAAAAAAUAAAAACUAAAAUGAAAAUAGAAAAUUAAAACUUGAAAACAUAGUUCAAACCAAAUAGAACCUAAUUAUUAAAAUUAUUUUUCAAACACAACCUAUCUAAAAUUAUUGUAAUAAAUUUUAAUUUAUUUAUAUAAUUAAAUAUUAUUGGAUAAUAUAUUUGAUAUCUGUAAAUAUUAUUAUUUUUAUUAAUAUCAUAUUCUUAAUUGAAUUAUUAGUAUAUUAUGUUAUUUUUAAAUAAAAUAAUUUAUUUGAAAUUAAUAUUUUUUUUAACAAUGAACAUAUCUAUAGAAAACUCUAAAAUCUAAUUUAAAUUAUUUAAUUAAAUAUGGUAAAAAAAAAUUUACAAAAGUUUCACAUCUUUAAAAUAAUAAAACCAAAUGUUUAUCAUCACUAGUAAUCUUUUGAAGCUUUAUUUCUUCUAACCAACUCUAUUUAUACCACAUUCUAACUUAUGCAACAAAAAAAAAAAACAUAUAUAUAUAUAUAUAUUAUUAUUAUUAAAUCAAACAAGAUUAUAACAUUUAUAUUUAAAAAAAAAAAAUCAUUCAAUGACACUAAUUUAAAGAAUAUAAUACAUAUGGUCCGAUAUCUAGAGUUAUCAUAAUAAAUUUUUAUUUAAACAAUUUAGUUGAAAUAACGAUUUAAAUAAAAAUUUGCAUGAGUAUAAAAAACAAAUAUUAUAUAUAUAUAUAUAUAUAUCUUCAAAUUGAUAAAUGAUAGUUUUUUCAUUCUUUCUUUCAUUCGUUCAUGUACAGAGUAUAUAUAGAGGAUAAUCACCAUUCAAAGAAUGGGAAAGAAUAAUACAAGGAAAGAAUGAUAUAAGGAAAUAACAACUAAUAUCCUAAUAUCCUAAUAUCUCAACUUUCUUAAUAUCUCAAUAUUCCUAAUAUCUCAACUUUCCUAAUAUCUAAACAUUCCUAAUAUCUCAACACUAAAUGAUAUAAGGAAAGAAUGAUAUAAGGAAAACAUUCCUAACAUCUCAACACUUCCCCUCAAGUUGGUACAUAGCUGUCACACAUGUCCAACUUGUCUAAAAAUUUUGAGAACACUUGACUUGAGACAACUUUGGUGAGGAUAUUGGCCAAUUGAUUUUUUGAUCGAAUAUUAGGCAAUUCCACAAUCUUAUCAUCCAACUUUUCAUUAAUGAAUAAUCUAUCCACCUUGCCAUGCUUUGUACGAUCAUGUUGUAUUGGAUUAUGAGCAAUGUCACAUGCGGCUUUAUUGUCACAAAACAAUCAAAUUGGUUACCUAGAUAGGUAACAUAAAUCCUGUAAGAGGAGUCUUAACCAUAAUGCCUCACAAAGUCCUAGAGUCAUACCUCUAAAUUCCGCUUUUGCACUUGAAUGAGGGACGACAUUCUGUUUCUUAAUUUUCCAUGUCACAAGAUUACCAUUUACAAAGGUAAAGUAACCAGAUGUAGAUCGCCUAUCAUCCACUGCACUGGCCCAAUCAGCAUGAGUAUAUACUUUUAUACUCUGAUGAUCAACAUUUUUAGCGAACAAAAUUCCCUUCCCAGGAGCAUUCUUCAAAUACCUCAAAAUACGCAUGACUGCAUUCAUAUGUUGCUCUCCAGGAUUAUGCAUAUAUUGACUCACUACACUCAAUGCAUAAGCAAGAUCUGGUCUUGUAUGAGCUAAGUACAUUAAUCUCCCCACAAGUCUCUGAUAUCUUCCCUUAUUGGUUGAUACUUGAUUAGGCUCAACACACAAUUUCAGACCUUCUUCUAUUGGUGUAUUAACAGGUUGACAUCCCGACAUUCCAGUCUCUUGUAAAAGAUCUAAGGCAUACUUUCUUUGACGCAGAAAAAUUCUUUCACUUGUUCAAGAAACUUCAAUCCCAAGAAAGUAUUUCAGAGGACCUAGAUCUUUCAUUUCGAAUUUUCUAGAUAGAUAAUUUUGCAGAGCUUUUCUUUCUUUAGAAUCAUUUCCUGUAACUACCAUGUCAUCCACAUAUACGAUGAGUGUCGUAAUCUUACCAUGUUGCUUUUUCAGGAACAAAGUGUGGUCUGAAUUACUUUGACGAUAACCAAAAGCUCUCAUUGACUUUGUGAACCUUCCAAACCAUGCUCUCGGGGAUUGUUUCAACUCAUACAAUGACUUCUUCAAUUUGCACACCUUCUGACAUUGCUUUUUUGACACCAUGCAUCCUGGUGGAAGAUCCAUAUAUACUUCUUCAGAUAACUCGCCAUGCAGAAAGACAUUUUUCACAUCGAACUGUUGUAAUGGCCAAUCUAGGUUUGCAGCUAAAGACAAUAAUACUCAAACUGUGUUGAUCUUAGCUACAAGUGCAAAUGUCUCUGUGUAGUCAAUUCCAUAAGUUUGAGUGUACCCUUUUGCUACCAGUCUUGCUUUAAAUCGUUUAAUACUACCAUCUGCCUUAUACUUCACAGUAUAGAUCCAACGACACCCAACUGGCUUCUUUUUUGGUAGACAUUCUACGAGUUCCCAUGUUUCAUUCUUCUACAAUGAUUUCAUCUCUUCAUUCAUGGCUGCUUUCCACCUUGGAUCAGCUAAGGCUUCCUGCACACUAUUAGGAAUAGCUAUAGUAGAUAAUUGAUUUAUAAAUGACUUAUUUAAUUCAGGCAAACGAUGGUUAGAUACAUAGUUGCUCAUUGGAUAUUUGACUUUGGUAGACAAUUUAGGUUCAUAUGUGGCUUUAGGAAUACCUCUAUUAUGACGGUGUGGUAACCGUUUCAUGAAUGGAUCAGGUUCCAAAUUAAGAACACCCUCAACAGAUGAGGAUUGGUUUGGUAUUUCAGUGAGGACAUCUUCGGACCCAAAUUGUUGACCACUCAUAUCCAACUCACUCGCUUCCUGGUUCACUAGUUCAGAUUAUCCAGAUUCAUCCUCCUCAGAGAUAUGAUAAUCAUAAUCGAGAGUCUGAAUUUCCUUAUGGUACUCCCCCUAAAGUUCAGACUCAAAUGAAAAAUAAAUCGAAUCUUCAUGAAACACCACAUCCAUUAUAAUAUACAUUCGUCGAGUUGGAGGAUGGUAACAUCGAUAUCCUUUUUUGUGCAAUGCAUAUCUAACAAACACACAUUACAAUGCAUGAGAAGUUAACUUGGUGCGUUGGUGUUUGUGUAGAUGCACAAAUGCCACACAACCAAAAACACGAGGAGGUAAAUUUAGGACGGUUAGGGCAACUACGACAUUAGUAAGAGCUUGAAAAGGUGUUUGGAAGUUAAUUGAGCUGGAAAGUACCCGAUUGAUCAAGUAUGCGGCAGAUGUGAUUGCUUCUCCCCAAUAAGAUAUCAGUGUUUUUGCUGCUAUCAAGCAAGCACAAACAACCUCUAACAAGUGUCGAUUUUUUUGUUCAGCGACUCCAUUUUGCUGGGGUGUAUUGGAACAAGUAGUCUAAUGAAUGAUGUCAUGUCCUUCCAAAUACUUUUGAAGAUCAGAACUUUGAUAUUCUCCACCAUUAUCACUACGCAGAACCCGAACCUUUGCAUUGUACUAAGUUUUAAUCACUUUAUGAAAAUUUUGAAACAACAAGUUCACUUCAUCUUUGGUCUUCAUCAAGCAUAACCAUGUCAUUCUGGUACAAUCAUCAAUAAAAGUAACAAACCAACGUGAGCCACUCAAAGUUGGGACUUUGGAUAGGCCCCAAACAUCAGAAUGUAUAACUAUAAAAGGAAACAGACUUUUAUUCAAAAUUAACGAAAACGAAGCACGAUGGCUUUUAGCCAAUUCACAAAUAUCACAACGGAAACUAGAAAUAUCACUCUUUGCAAACAAACUAGGAAACAAUUUUUUUAAAUAACCAAAGGAAGCAUGUCCCAGACGUUGAUGCCACAACCAAAUUUCAGACAUUUUCUUCUCUCCCUCAAAUCCAUCUGCCAUCAAGGCUUAUUGCAACUUAUUUGAAUCAUUUGACUGCAAGUCCAAGUAAUAGAGUUUUCCCCGUUUAAUACCACAACCAAUUGUCUGUCUUGUUUGGAUGUCCUUAAUCACACAAAAUUCAGACAAAAAAAUGACAAUACAAGAUAAGGCUACAGUGAUUUGAGAAACUGACAAAAGAUUGUAAUCUAAAGAUGGAACAACUAAAACAGAAUCCAAAUUCAAAGUAUCAAUAAGAGUUAAGGAUCCUUCCCCAAUGGUUGGGGUUGUGUUACCAUUGGCUAUGGAAACAAUUUUUUGUGAGGAAGGUUUAAGGGGUGAAACUUGUCUAGAAUCAAAAGUCAUAUGAUCUGUAGCACCAGAAUCAAUUAUCCAUGCACUAUUAACAACAGGUGUAAAAGUAUUUAAAAAUUUACCACCAUGAUAUGUAGCGGCUACCAAUGCAGAGGCUUUCUCAACAACAUUAACCUUUGUUUUUAUUUCGGCAACAGUUGCAGUUGAGGUUUUCUUGGAAUCCUUCUUCCGUUGAUCACGAUUAUUAUCAUUAAUAACAAAGUGUUGAUAGUCUAAACAUGAUCUAAAGGUCCAUGGUUCAAACCCUCAGUUCCUCAUUUUUUUCCUGGUCAUACCAAGAGUCGUUGCUUUGAAAUUGUGGGAUAUCCAGACUGGUGGGAUCAGUCUUAUUGUAGUGAGUGCAUUUGAAGGUUGACUUAUCAAUAUUAGGGUUUGUCUUAGGAUGGUUGAUCGUUGUCGGACUACUAUAGCGACAAAAUAUCCAGGAUUUCAAUUCCAUGGCUUUGAUACCAUCUUCAAAUUGAUAAAUGAUAAUUUUUUCAUUUUUUCUUUCAUUCGUUCAUGUACAGAGUAUAUAUAGAGGGUAAUCACCAUUCUAAGAAUGAGAAAGAAUGAUACAAGAAAAGAAUGAUAUAAGGAAAUAACAACUAAUAUCCUAAUAUCUCAAUAUUCAUAAUAUCUCAACUUUCCUAAUAUCUAAAUAUUCCUAAUAUAUCAACACUAAAUGAUAUAAGGAAAGAAUGAUAUAAGGAAAGCAUUCCUAAUAUCUCAACAAUAUAUAUAUGUUAAUUUUAGCUUUUAUAUAAUAACUUUAUUAUUUAGAAGUGAAACAUUUAAAGAUUACUAUGCACAUAAUAUUGAAAAAAAAUGAUUAAAUUAUAAAAACAACAUCAUCUACUUGCACCCUCAUGUGCAUUGCAUGUGUUUUUUUUUCCUACUAGUGCUAACAUCACCUCAAAAUGAAAAAGGUGAUCGGUGAUUUCAUAUUUCUUAAUUUUUGAAGUUGCAUUGUUAGGUGUUUUGUUUAUCUAUUUUCCACAAUGAGGCUAGACCAAAACCUAUACUAGGUUUUUUUUUUUUAUUUAUUUCCUCACAUAAUUUUUUUAUUCUUCCUUUAUUUUGAUUAUUUGAUUAUUAAGGGUUCAAAUUAUAUAUUUUCGUAUUGGAAUUUGUAUUAUUUAAUAAAUAAAUAAUUUUAAAUUAGUUUUACAAUAUUUAUCAAUAAUUAUAAAAAAUGAUGGGAUGGAAAUCAAAUUAAUAUCAAUAAGAAAAAUAUUUUUAAUUUUUUUUAAUAUGAAGAUAAUUGUGUUGAAAGUUGUUUAUGUCAUUUUAUAUAUUUAUAUAUUAUUUUAAUUAAUUUUAGAAUAUCUAAAGGCUAUUUACUUUAAAUAAACCUUUAAACAAACUACUUUUUUAAAUAAUGAAUACAUAUAAAAAAAAACCUUCCAAAUGUAAUUUAAAUUAUCUAGAAAGGUUGAAAACAAUAAGGUAAUAAUUGGACCAAUACAAGAAAUAGAAAUAUUAUUGAUAUGAAAGAAAUAUUAAUAUAAAUAAAAUAUUAUUUUAUAUAUAUUUGAAAACAAAUAUUAUCUACCUUCUAAAUAUUUUAUUUAUUUAUUAGAUUAGGUUAUUGUAAAUAAAUAUAUUUUUUAUGUCAAAAUAAUUUAGUUGAUUAAUUAUAAAUACAAUAGUUCAUGCACACAAGAGAUUAAUUCUGUCUAUGAAUUCCAAGCAUAAAAACAGAAAGAAUUACUAUCUAAUUUUGCCUAAUUUAUUGUAGAAAAUUGAAAAAAUAAAUGUUUAUAAUUAAUGACUAAUCUGGGUGUACCUCUUUCUAGUUCAACAACAUUUUGAAUAUAAAAAACAGCACAACUUCAAUGAGAUUUUGAGGGUCUGAUUAAUUUCUUCUUCAUUAAUGAAUCAAUUUCUUGUUUACAGUAUUCUAAAAGUUUUUCAUUCAUUUGAAUAGGUCUAGCUUUAGUGGGACCAAAAAGCAUUUGGAAGAUCAGAACAAAUUUCUUUUUGAAAAAUAUAUUGAAUUUCUUUUAUUAUUUUUUGAACUUUAUUUUCUAGAAAUUGCUCUUCUACUUUUUUAUAAUGAAUUUCUUUUGAUAGAAAAUUUAUAUGAGUUUGUUUUCUUUGAAUUAAAUUUAUCCUUUUAUUUAUUGAAUCACUUCGAACUUGAUUUAUUUCCUUUUUGGUUAAUGGAUAUAUAAAGGGGAAAAAUUUGGUGUUUCCUAAUAUUGUAGUUUUGACACCUUUAUCAUUUACUUGAAAUGGGUAAAGUAGUGUAAUAAAAGGAACUCCUAAGAUUAAAGGUUCAAUCAUGUUUUGUACUAACACAAAUUGAGUUCUAAACAAUAAUUAUCUUGACAUAUAUAAAAAUUUUGAAGCUUGUAUUCUAUAUCUAAUUUUCCUUUAUUUGCAGCAAAAAGUUAUUGUCUUGUUUUUUCAUAAUAUUGAGUAGAGAUUAAUCAUUCUUGAAUAAAAUUCAUAUAAGCUCGUGAGUCUAUUAAUACCAUCAUUUCUAUUUCAAAAUCUUCAAUUCUGACUUUUACACUUGUAUACCAUUUUUGAAAAUAUAUUUUUGAUAUUGUAUUUAUAAAUGAUUGUAUAGGGGUUUGUUUAUUAGGUAUUAUUAUUAUUUCUGGAUCUUGAUUAUUAGAUGUUUCAGCAAAAGUUUCUUGUUUGUAUUAUAUUAUAUUUCUUAUUUGUUCAUUUUCUUGUUUUAAUUAAUAUAUUUGCUUUUUAUUUUUAUUUUUAUUUCUUCUUUCAAAUCUUCAAUAGUUAUAGGCUUUUGAGUUUUUUUGAAUUUAUUAAAAAAUUUAUCAAUUGAGUAUUAUGCAGAUCUAAUUUCUUGGGUUUUAUUUGAAUUUUCUGUGAGAAUUAAAUUUUUUAAGUUUUGUAAAUAAUUUCUUUGUAUUUCCUCAUCAUUUAUUUUGUUUAUAACAUCAAAUAAUACUUGCUUAUCUACUUUUGAAUAUAUUACAUUUAUUGUUUUAAUUAUUUUGAUUAUUUUAUUUAUUUUCUAUUUUUUUGUGCUUCAUUAAUUUCAGGACAAGAUUGUGAUAUCUUCAAAAGUAGAUAAACAAUAAAUUAAUGGUAGCAAGACGAAAAGAAAGGAAAAAAAGAAAGGAUUUUACUAAAUAUUAAUAAUAAUAAUGGUAGCAAGAUGAAUAAGGUCUUUGAUUUAAUCUUAGACCAAAACAAAAUCUUUGUUAAUGAAAUUUUUUAUUAUCAUUUAAGAGAGAUUUGUAUACAAGAAAAUUUCAAAAUAAAUAUAAGUAUUCAAUUUGAAGGAAAAUUAUACAAACAUAAGAAAUGAGGUUUUGUGGAAAAAUAUAAAAAUAAAUAAAUAAAAAUUGGAUUUUCGUUGUUCAAUAAAAACGCGUAAGACAUAAUGGGUAUUCAUUGUGAAAUCUCGAUAUUUAUCUCCUUACUUUUUAUCUCUUUUAUUAUCUUUCUAGGAUUCUCUCUCUCUUAUCUCUUCAUCUUUCUUUCUAGUUCCUUGGUCUCUAGACUUCUCAGAUUUGUUAAAUAUUUUUAUUUUUAUUUUAAAGAAACUAAAAUUCCCCAAUGACAAUUUAAAAUUUAUAACUCCUUAUCAUUAUAAACCAUAAACUCAAAGGGAGUUUCAUUAAUAAAAAGUAAAUUUAGCUUGAAUGAGUGUUGGCCUUCGUUUAUACUAUCAGACACAUCAAUUUUCUACCUUUUUUUUUUUUUUUUUUUAAGGAUAAUUAAAAACUUGCUUGGAAAAAAAGAUAUAUAUCUUUUGGUACCAUAUAGAAAAGUGCUAGAAAAUCACAAAAUGUCACAUUUUUAAAUAAAAGUUUCAUUAUUUUGUAUCCCAUACAUGACACCAUCGUUUAGGUCCAAUUUUUCAUUAUUUAAAGACUCAGUCUCUGAGUUUAUUUGAAAAAGUCAAAAACUUACAAACUUUGAAGAGGUCCCUACGAAUAUUUUAAAGAGCGAAAGGUGUAAGUAUAUUGGUUGAAGGGCUUCUAGACAACUAGGGAUAUACAAUCAAUGGUUUAAUAAGAUUAGUUGUAGGUUGGUAGAAUUAGAUUGAAAAUGAGUCAAAUGACAGUGGUGACGCUAGCGAAAUACAGUCAGUCACCAAUCAUCAUCGUAAUUUUGUAAGCAGUGACGACCACACUCCUAACUUCCAUUAAUACAGAGUCAAAUGUUUUUUACGUCUACAAAAAGAGCAAAAGAAACCUUACUGAUGGACAGACCUAUAAAUACCACACAAUCCACUCCUCACAAAUCAUAUCUCAUUAUCUUUUUCCUUUCAGUCUACAGAUUCCAUUCACGAGUCUACAGAGAAACACACCAGGACCAAUCACCAUCAACCAUGUUUGAGUUUAGCCUCCUACUUUCUCCAUUUCUCUUCAUUCUUCCACUACUUUUCUUCUUCUUCUCCUUCAUUCGCACAAAAUCACCUUCAUCUCCUUCCGCCAGUGCCCUCAAAUGUUACCCAAUAAUUGGCUCAUCUCUGGAAAUCUUAGCCAAUCUAAACCGACGUAUCCAGUGGACAUCUGAUCUUAUUAGAGCCUCACCCUCUGCAACUGUAGUCAUCCACCGCUUUCUGGGCACACGUGUUGUCCUCACUGGCAACCCUUCCAAUGUGCAACACAUCCUCAAGACCCACUUCCACAACUACCAUAAAGGCCAGACCUUUGCAAUCAACCUCUCUGAUUUUCUUGGUGGCGGCAUCUUCAAUGCCGACGGCGACAACUGGAAGUUCCAGAGACAGGUCUCCAGCCAUGAAUUCAACACAAAAUCCCUGCGCAAAUUCAUUGAGACUGUCGUCGAUGCUGAGCUCUCCGACCGCCUCAUCCCUAUUUUAAGCAUGGCUGCCGCCAACAAUUCGAUUCUGGACUUUCAAGAUAUUCUCCAGAGAUUCGCUUUCGAUAACAUCUGCAAAAUCGCUUUCGGGUACGAUCCAGCUUAUCUAUUGCCAUCUCUCCCACAGGCAAAAUUCGCAGUUGCUUUCGAGGAUGCAGCUCGAAUUAGCAGCGAGAGGUUCUCUUCGAUUCGCCCAACUGUGUGGAGACUGAAACGGCUUAUGGGAGUGGGGUCGGAGAAGCGUCUGAAGCUUGCAGUGGGUGAGGUGCGUGAGUUCGCAAAAAACAUCAUAAGAGAGAAGAAAGAAGAGCUGAAGCACAAAUCUUCACUCGACUCCACCGACCUCUUAUCACGAUUCUUGAGCUCCGGCCACUCAGAUGAGGACUUUGUCACUGAUAUAGUCAUCAGCUUUAUACUCGCCGGGCGGGACACCACCUCCGCUGCUCUGACAUGGUUCUUCUGGUUACUCUUCAAGAACCCAGAUGUGGAAGAUCAGAUUCUGAAUGAAAUCAAUGAAAAGUCUGAAUUGCCGGUGUUCGAUGAAGUGAAGGACAUGAUCUACACACACGCCUCUCUCUGUGAGAGUAUGCGAUUCUACCCUCCUGUCCCCGCC
rnacentral:lncRNA from 1 species